GGUUAAGCGACUAAGCGUACACGGUGGAUGCCCUGGCAGUCAGAGGCGAUGAAGGACGUGCUAAUCUGCGAAAAGCGUCGGUAAGGUGAUAUGAACCGUUAUAGCCGGCGAUGUCCGAAUGGGGAAACCCAGUGCAAUUCGUUGCACUAUCGUUAACUGAAUACAUAGGUUAACGAGGCGAACCGGGGGAACUGAAACAUCUAAGUACCCCGAGGAAAAGAAAUCAACCGAGAUUCCCCCAGUAGCGGCGAGCGAACGGGGAGCAGCCCGGAGUCUGAAUCAGCUUGUGUGUUAGUGGAAGCGUCUGGAAAGUCGCAGGGUACAGGGUGAUACUCCCGUACACUAAAACACACAGGUUGUGAACUCGAAGAGUAGGGCGGGACACGUGGUAUCCUGUCUGAAUAUGGGGGGACCAUCCUCCAAGGCUAAAUACUCCUGACUGACCGAUAGUGAACCAGUACCGUGAGGGAAAGGCGAAAAGAACCCCGGCGAGGGGAGUGAAAAAGAACCUGAAACCGUGUACGUACAAGCAGUAGGAGCCCACUAGUUGGGUGACUGCGUACCUUUUGUAUAAUGGGUCAGCGACUUAUAUUCUGUAGCAAGGUUAACCGUAUAGGGGAGCCGCAGGGAAACCGAGUCUUAACUGGGCGUUAAGUUGCAGGGUAUAGACCCGAAACCCGGUGAUCUAGCCAUGGGCAGGUUGAAGGUUGGGUAACACUAACUGGAGGACCGAACCGACUAAUGUUGAAAAAUUAGCGGAUGACUUGUGGCUGGGGGUGAAAGGCCAAUCAAACCGGGAGAUAGCUGGUUCUCCCCGAAAGCUAUUUAGGUAGCGCCUCGUGAAUUCAUCUUCGGGGGUAGAGCACUGUUUCGGCUAGGGGGUCAUCCCGACUUACCAACCCGAUGCAAACUACGAAUACCGAAGAAUGUUAUCACGGGAGACACACGGCGGGUGCUAACGUCCGUCGUGAAGAGGGAAACAACCCAGACCGCCAGCUAAGGUCCCAAAGUCAUGGUUAAGUGGGAAACGAUGUGGGAAGGCCCAGACAGCCAGGAUGUUGGCUUAGAAGCAGCCAUCAUUUAAAGAAAGCGUAAUAGCUCACUGGUCGAGUCGGCCUGCGCGGAAGAUGUAACGGGGCUAAACCAUGCACCGAAGCUGCGGCAGCGACACUAUGUGUUGUUGGGUAGGGGAGCGUUCUGUAAGCCGUUGAAGGUGGCCUGUGAGGGUUGCUGGAGGUAUCAGAAGUGCGAAUGCUGACAUAAGUAACGAUAAUGCGGGUGAAAAACCCGCACGCCGGAAGACCAAGGGUUCCUGUCCAACGUUAAUCGGGGCAGGGUGAGUCGACCCCUAAGGCGAGGCCGAAAGGCGUAGUCGAUGGGAAACAGGUUAAUAUUCCUGUACUCGGUGUUACUGCGAAGGGGGGACGGAGAAGGCUAUGUUGGCCGGGCGACGGUUGUCCCGGUUUAAGCAUGUAGGCGGAUGUUCCAGGUAAAUCCGGAACGUUAUUAACGCUGAGGUGUGAUGACGAGGCACUACGGUGCUGAAGUGACAAAUGCCCUGCUUCCAGGAAAAGCCUCUAAGCAUCAGGUAACAUCAAAUCGUACCCCAAACCGACACAGGUGGUCAGGUAGAGAAUACCAAGGCGCUUGAGAGAACUCGGGUGAAGGAACUAGGCAAAAUGGUGCCGUAACUUCGGGAGAAGGCACGCUGAUGGUAGGUGAAGCGACUUGCUCGUGGAGCUGAAAUCAGUCGAAGAUACCAGCUGGCUGCAACUGUUUAUUAAAAACACAGCACUGUGCAAACACGAAAGUGGACGUAUACGGUGUGACGCCUGCCCGGUGCCGGAAGGUUAAUUGAUGGGGUUAUCCGUAAGGAGAAGCUCUUGAUCGAAGCCCCGGUAAACGGCGGCCGUAACUAUAACGGUCCUAAGGUAGCGAAAUUCCUUGUCGGGUAAGUUCCGACCUGCACGAAUGGCGUAAUGAUGGCCAGGCUGUCUCCACCCGAGACUCAGUGAAAUUGAACUCGCUGUGAAGAUGCAGUGUACCCGCGGCAAGACGGAAAGACCCCGUGAACCUUUACUAUAGCUUGACACUGAACACUGGUCCUUGAUGUGUAGGAUAGGUGGGAGGCUUUGAAGUGUGGACGCCAGUCUGCAUGGAGCCAUCCUUGAAAUACCACCCUUUAAUGGCUGGUGUUCUAACGUGGGCCCCUAAUCGGGGUUGCGGACAGUGUCUGGUGGGUAGUUUGACUGGGGCGGUCUCCUCCUAAAGAGUAACGGAGGAGCACGAAGGUCAGCUAAUCCUGGUCGGACAUCAGGAGGUUAGUGCAAUGGCAUAAGCUGGCUUGACUGCGAGCGUGACGGCGCGAGCAGGUGCGAAAGCAGGUCAUAGUGAUCCGGUGGUUCUGAAUGGAAGGGCCAUCGCUCAACGGAUAAAAGGUACUCCGGGGAUAACAGGCUGAUACCGCCCAAGAGUUCAUAUCGACGGCGGUGUUUGGCACCUCGAUGUCGGCUCAUCACAUCCUGGGGCUGAAGUAGGUCCCAAGGGUAUGGCUGUUCGCCAUUUAAAGUGGUACGCGAGCUGGGUUUAGAACGUCGUGAGACAGUUCGGUCCCUAUCUGCCGUGGGCGCUGGAGAAUUGAGGGGGGCUGCUCCUAGUACGAGAGGACCGGAGUGGACGCAUCACUGGUGUUCGGGUUGUCAUGCCAAUGGCAUUGCCCGGUAGCUAAAUGCGGAAGAGAUAAGUGCUGAAAGCAUCUAAGCACGAAACUUGCCCCGAGAUGAGUUCUCCCUGACCCUUUAAGGGUCCUGAAGGAACGUUGAAGACGACGACGUUGAUAGGCCGGGUGUGUAAGCGCAGCGAUGCGUUGAGCUAACCGGUACUAAUGAACCGUGAGGCUUAACCUU
rnacentral:rRNA from 1 species